GGAGGUAAUUGAAUCAUGGGGGCCUGUCUUUCCCAUGCUAUCGUCAUGAUAGUGAAUAAGUCUCACAAGAUCUGAUGGGUUUAUCAGGGGUUUCGGUAUUUGCUUCUUUCUCAUUUUCUCUUGCCACUGCCAGGUAAGAAGUACCUUUCACCUCCUGCCAUGAUUCUGAGGCCUCCCUCGCCAUGUGGAACUGUAAGUCCAAUUAAACCUCUUUUUCUUCCCAGUCUCAGAUAUGUCUUUAUCAGCAGCAUGAAAAUGGACAAACACAGGGACACUAUUUCCUUUUGCACAAUGGAAAGCAUCAUAAAUAAGGUAAAAAUUAAGAUACAGAACAGAAGAGCACAUGUGUAACUUCAAUUUAUUGACUUGGAUAGUUUCUAGAUGAUAUACACAUAUUUAUACCCAACAAAUUAGUAAUUUAAAAAAUCCUCAAGACAUUUAAAGAUGGGCAAAUUAUAUGGAAUAAAAUGUAUUGAAGACAAAACCCAAAUGGAUAGUAAUCACAAAAAGUCUGGUGUCACUGAGAGUCAAGGGAUUACAAAAUAUCACAAAGGAAUGCACUUCCAUUUGCAAACAGUGGUAAUGCCGUGUGUUGAUAGAAAUAUGUAAUCGAUCUUUUCUUUGGUGGGCAAUUAGCAAUAUUGAGGAAAGUUAAAGAUGUAUGUAUCCCUACCACUUGAAACACCUGGAAAUGCCAUUACCAUGCUUAUAUUCUAGAACAGAAGUUCUCUGCCAUGACUGUACAUGAGAAUCACUGCUCUAGAAUAUGGCACAAUACACAUUCAUGCGCAUUAUUCCUUGUCCAGCAAAUGCAAGAGUUUCUCUAGAGGAGGGGCUUAUCUCAAUCCUAGGCUCCUGUUAGAAUCUCUUCAGGGGUUCUUUCACAAAAGUAAUACCUAAACAUCCCCCUCCAAAUCUGAUUAAGUUGGCCUGGAUGGAGUCUGACUGAGGAAGCCUGGAUGCCCAUUAAGUUCUUCCAGGGAACUAUUGAAAAUCUUGACACCCACGUUGCAAUCCAAUAUCUCUGGAUUUGAGCCCCAAGCUUUGUGUAAACAAAUUACAACCUUGUGUGUAAUAGCAAAAAUCUGGAAGCCACUUAGAUGUUCAUUGAGAGGAGAAUGCAUAAAUACAUUGUAGAAUAUACCUAUAAUAAAAUAUAUCCUGCUCUUAAAAUGAAACAAAUUUUGCCCUCAUCUAUCAGCAUGACUGAAACUUAAACAUGACAUUUUGUGCAAAAAAAGGCAAGCUAAAAGAAUAUAUGGACAUAAGUUCUUUAUGCCACCCUUAUGUCCAUAUAUUCUUUGUAGUAUAGAUGUAAAUAUGUAGAAUAUAUAUUUAUAAAAAAAUAUAUAGAAUAUAUAUUUAUAAAAUAUGAUCUGUCGACAUAAAUAUAUAGAAUAGAAUAUAUAGAAAUAAAUAAUUUCUAUCUAUAUAACCUUUAUGGUAUAGGAUGUCAUCUAAAUAACAUAAGCAUAUUGAAUAUCCUAUUUAUUAUUUACAGAUACAUUUGUGUACUAAAGGUAUGAAAGUUCAAAGGCUGGGUGCGGUGGCUCAUGCCUGUAAUCCCAGCAC
rnacentral:lncRNA from 10 species